rnacentral:rRNA from 1 species
GACGAACGCUGGCGGCGUGCUUAACACAUGCAAGUAGAACGGAAAGGCCCCUUUGGGGGUACUCGAGUGGGGAACGGGUGAGUAACACGUGAGUAACCUGCCCUUGACUUCGGGAUAACUUCAGGAAACUGGGGCUAAUACCGGAAAGGAAUCCUUGCUGCAUGGAGGGGGUUGGUAAGCUUCGGCGGUUUUGGAUGGACUCGCGGCUUAUCAGCUUGUUUGUGGGGUAGUGGCUUACCAAGGCUUUGACGGGUAGCCGGCCUGAGAGGGCGACCGGCCACAAUGGGACUGAGAGACGGCCCAGACGCCUACGGGAGGCAACAGUGGGGAAUAUUGCACAAUGGGCGGAAGCCUGAUGCAGCAACGCCGCGUGCGGGAUGACGGCCUUCGGGUUGUAAACCGCUUUCAGCAGGGGCGAAGCUUGUGGUGACGGUACCUGCAGAAGAAGCACCGGCUAACUACGUG